rnacentral:misc_RNA from 1 species
CCAUUUAGAGGAAGUAAAAGUCGUAACAAGGUCUCCGUAGGUGAACCUGCGGAGGGAUCAUUAACACGUUUCCGAACGUUUAACUAUUUCACAUCAACCGCGUGAUAUAAUUGAAUCAAAUCAACCGACCUGGAAUCAAGAGAAUUCUAUCUAGAAUGCACGGAGUGAUGAGUGUGCAUGUGAGCAAUCGCAUGCAUACGGUGUAUCUAGAUUAGUAUUGCUUAUCUUACUGUAUGCGCAAGCACGCUCUGAGACUAUCUUGGUUCUC